rnacentral:rRNA from 1 species
CCUACGGGAGGCAGCAGUGAGGAAUAUUGGUCAAUGGACGAGAGUCUGAACCAGCCAAGUAGCGUGAAGGAUGACUGCCCUAUGGGUUGUAAACUUCUUUUAUAAAGGAAUAAAACGAGGCACGUGUGCCUUUUUGCAUGUACUUUAUGAAUAAGGAUCGGCUAACUCCGUGCCAGCCGCCGCGGUAAUACGGAGGAUCCGAGCGUUAUCCGGAUUUAUUGGGUUUAAAGGGUGCGCAGGCGGCCUGUUAAGUCAGCGGUAAAAGGCCGGGGCUCAACCCCGGCGAGCCGUUGAAACUGGCGGGCUGGAGUUGGAGAGAAGUACGCGGAAUGCGCGGUGUAGCGGUGAAAUGCUUAGAUAUCGCGCAGAACCCCGAUUGCGAAGGCAGCGUACCGGCUCCACACUGACGCUGAGGCACGAAAGCGUGGGUAUCGAACAGGAUUAGAUACCCGAGUAGUC